UACGAAGGGGGCUAGCGUUGUUCGGAGUUACUGGGCGUAAAGGGCGCGUAGGCGGCGCAUCAAGUCAGGCGUGAAAGCCCUGGGCUCAACCCGGGAAUUGCGCUUAAGACUGGUGUGCUUGAGUACGGGAGAGGAUAGUGGAAUUCCCAGUGUAGAGGUGAAAUUCGUAGAUAUUGGGAAGAACACCAGUGGCGAAGGCGGCUAUCUGGACCGUAACUGACGCUGAGGCGCGAAAGCGUGGGGAGCAAACAGG
rnacentral:rRNA from 1 species